rnacentral:tRNA from 1 species
CAAAUUAUAGUUCUAUUAGAGAAUGUUUCACUUACACUGAUAAGGAGACUGUGCAAUUCAGUUUAAUUUGA